rnacentral:rRNA from 1 species
AAUCAACGUUGGCGGCAGGCUUAACACAUGCAAGUCGAACGGUCCGCAAGGAUAGUGGCAAACGGGUGAGUAAUACAUGGGAAUGUACCUUUUAGUUCGGGAUAACAGCGGGAAACCGCUGCUAAUACCGGAUGCGCUCUACGGAGGAAAGAUUUAUCGCUGAACGAUCAGCCCAUGCCAGAUUAGCUAGUUGGUGAGGUAAUGGCUCACCAAGGCAGUGAUCUGUAGCGGGUCUGAGAGGAUGAUCCGCCACACUGGGACUGCGAUACGGCCCAGACUCCUACGGGAGGCAGCAGUGAGGAAUAUUGGACAAUGGAGGCAACUCUGAUCCAGCCAUGCCGCGUGAAUGAUGAAGGCCUUAGGGUUGUAAAGUUCUUUAAGUGGGGAAGAUAAUGACGGUACCCACAGAAUAAGCACCGGCUAACUUCGUGCCAGCAGCCGCAGUAA